rnacentral:rRNA from 1 species
AUUGAACGCUGGCGGCAGGCCUAACACAUGCCAGUCGAGCGGAUGAAGGGAGCUUGCUCCUGGAUUCAGCGGCGGACGGGUGAGUAAUGCCUAGGAAUCUGCCUGGUAGUGGGGGAUAACGUCCGGAAACGGGCGUUAAUACCGCAUACGUCCUGAGGGAGAAAGUGGGGGAUCUUCGGACCUCACGCUAUCAGAUGAGCCUAGGUCGGAUUAGCUAGUUGGUGGGGUAAAGGCCUACCAAGGCGACGAUCCGUAACUGGUCUGAGAGGAUGAUCAGUCACAUUGGAACUGAGACACGGUCCAGACUCCUACGGGAGGCAGCAGUGGGGAAUAUUGGACAAUGGGCGAAAGCCUGAUCCAGCCAUGCCGCGUGUGUGAAGAAGGUCUUCGGAUUGUAAAGCACUUUAAGUUGGGAGGAAGGGCAGUAAGUUAAUACCUUGCUGUUUUGACGUUACCAACAGAAUAAGCACCGGCUAACUUCGUG